GACGAACGCUGGCGGCGUGCCUAAUACAUGCAAGUAGAACGCACAGGUUAUACCGUAGCUUGCUACACCAUAGACUGUGAGUUGCGAACGGGUGAGUAACGCGUAGGUAACCUGCCUGGUAGCGGGGGAUAACUAUUGGAAACGAUAGCUAAUACCGCCUAAUAUUAAUUAUUGCUUGAAAAGUGAUUGCAAGUUGCAACUGCAUCACUACCAGAUGGACCUGCGUUGUAUUAGCUGGUAGGUGAGGUAACGGCUCACCUAGGCGACGAUACAUAGCCGACCUGAGAGGGCGAGCGGCCACACUGGGACUGAGACACGGCACAGAGGGCCAGGGGAGGCAGCAGUAGUGAAUCGUGGGCAAGCGGCGGAAGUCUGACCGAGCAAGGCGGAGGGAGUGAAGAAGGGUUUCGGAUCGUAAAGGUCUGUUGUAAGAGAAGAACGCGUGUGAGAGUGGAAAGUUCACUCUGUGACGGUAUUUUACAAGAAAGGAACGGCUAACUACGUG
rnacentral:rRNA from 1 species